rfam:Triticum aestivum genome assembly, contig: Triticum_aestivum_CS42_TGACv1_scaffold_477255_6AL
CAAAUACUCCCUCCGUCUGGAAAUACUUGUCAUCAAAAUGGAUAAAAGGAAAUGUAUCUAGACGUAUUUUAGUUUUAGAUACAUCUUUUUUUAUACAUUUUGAUCACAAGUAUUUUCGGACAGAGGGAGUAGAAA